rnacentral:lncRNA from 1 species
UAGAACUAAAGGAAACACAAAGUACAAUCGCCCCACUCUUCAUGUAACGCUGUGAAAGAAUCCUGCUCAUCAGAACGAAUUCUAACGGGUCGCUGAAUGUGAAGCUCACGUCACCAACAAAGCGCGGUUUCCUCCCUCGCCAUCCUUCCUCAUGGUCGCGCACCCGGUUCACCUCACCAACAAAGCGCGGUUUCCUCCCUCGCCCUUCUUCCUCGGGAUCGUGCACGCGGUUCACGUCACCAACAAAGCGCGGUUUCCUCCCUCGCCAGACUUCCUCAUGGUCGCGCACCCGUUUCACCUCACCAACAAAGCGCGGUUUCCUCCCUCGCGAUCCUUCCUCGUGAUCGCGCACCCAGCUCACCUCACCAGCAAAGCGCGGUUUCCUCCCUGGCAAUACUUCCUCGGGAUCGUGCACCCGUUUCACCUCACCAACAAAGCGCGGUUUCCUCCCUCGCCAUCCUUCCUCAUGGUCGCGCACCCGGCUCACCUCAAGAACAAAGCGCGGUUUCCUCCCUGGCAAUACUUCCUCGGGAUCGUGCACGCGGUUCACCUCACCAACAAAGCGCGGUUUCCUCCCUCGCCAUCCUUCCUCGUGGUCGCGCACCCGGCUCACCUCAAGAACAAAGCGCGGUUUCCUCCCUCGCCAUCCUUCCUUAUGGUCGCGCACCCGGCUCACCUCAACAACAAAGCGCGGUUUCCUCCCUCGCCAUCCUUCCUCGUGGUCGCGCACCCGGUUGGAUUUCACAGUCAUGGAAGUUCUGCUUUAAAAUCCGUUUCUGAAGAAGUGUUAAUGUAUAAGAAAAACAGCAGACGAACACCAGGUGAGGGAGAGUGUAUUAAACACCUGGACGGUACUCCGCAAAUAUGACACAGUCACCAAAGACAAGUUUGAGAAUCUGUCUCAGACAAGAUCUUGACACUGCUGACCAGGGACAAAAUGUCCCAUUGACAGUCAUGCUCUGGAGCAGGAUGGGCAGUGAGAGACCAGAGACCACAGGAUGGUGGAAAAGCCAGGAAAUUUGUGAGCCGACCAAACCGGAUUUGAAUUCUCUUUCUGAAAAUAAGUAAUUAUGUGAGUCACUCAUUCUCUGAGCUUGAGUUUCUGCAUCCGUAAACUAAGGAUGAUAUGUGAGUUUUGCUUGUUUCCCUAAGACAAGUUAUGCAAACUGAUAAGAGCAGAGUAGACCCUUAGUUAAUGUGUUUCCUUUUUUAGUAGUUCUUAAUUCUUCAAUUUCCAUAAGAAUUUAGAUUAAAAGAUGUAGUUUUGCUCAGAUGAUGCCAAAAUCAUAUGUGCAUCUUUUUAAAACUGAUUAUCAAAUAUAAUUAUGUAGUCAGUGAAUUAAGCAAGAAUAAAAAC